AUUGAACGCUGGCGGCAGGCUUAACACACGCAAGUCGAGCGGGGGAAGGUAGCUUGCUACCGGACCUAGCGGCGGACGGGUGAGUAAUGCUUAGGAAUCUGCCUAUUAGUGGGGGACAACAUCUCGAAAGGGAUGCUAAUACCGCAUACGUCCUACGGGAGAAGGCAGGGGAUCUUCGGACCUUGCGCUAAUAGAUGAGCCUAAGUCGGAUUAGCUAGUUGGUGGGGUAAAGGCCUACCAAGGCGACGAUCUGUAGCGGGUCUGAGAGGAUGAUCCGCCACACUGGGACUGAGACACGGCCCAGACUCCUACGGGAGGCAGCAGUGGGGAAUAUUGGACAAUGGGGGGAACCCUGAUCCAGCCAUGCCGCGUGUGUGAAGAAGGCCUUAUGGUUGUAAGGCACUUUAAGCGAGGAGGAGGCUACUUUAGUUAAUACCUAGAGAUAGUGGACGUUACUCGCAGAAUAAGCACCGGCUAACUCUGUGCCAGCAGCCGCCGUAA
rnacentral:rRNA from 1 species